GCAACUUUCUUCUUUCACACUUCUUCUUCCUCCUCUUUUCUAUUCACCUAUCACACACCAUUCUCUUAAUGUCGACAUGGAAUUCAGCACCAUCUUUUGUAUAUUUCUUUCUUUUCCCUUCAUGCUUCUCUUCAACUAAUUGCUCACUUCCAUCACUUCCAAACACUUGGAAUAGUUACUCCCUCCCGGUUGCGUUCGUUGUUCUUACAUUCGUGAAACCUUUCAAAUGUGUUCUUAACUGAAGAUUUUACUUGUUAUGUGAGAAAGAAAAUGUUUGGGUGUUGAGAAUACAUUUGAAAGGUUUCUCCUAUGUAAGGUCCACCUAUGGAAUCAGGAAGGAGAAACCGCUCCUGGUGUUUGCAGGGGAAAUAUUAGAGCAGUUACUUGAUUAGAAUAAUAAUGGGAAAAGGAGCAAGCAAGCAAAACGUGGCGCUUAGUUCCAUUUCAAUAUUUCAUGUUAGUGGCUUGAAAUAGGUGAAUAGAGAAGAAGAUGAAGCAAAAUUGAUGAUCACUGAGGAAAAAGCCAGCACAAGGCUCCACUUUCUGAAUGCUGGAAAAUUCCUCUACUAAAUGUUCAUACUUUGCAUGAUUUAGCUGUCUGUGCCCUGCAAGAACAGGUAUAACCAAUGUGAAAGAACAUUCCCAUUUCACUUCAGAGCUUCUUCUCAAUAUUAUGUAGUGUGAAAUUUUUAACUUCAUUGAAGUAUUCAAGAAGAAGCAUAUCAGCACCUUGCUCUGAUUCAUGCCAUGGAGUUAAGAGCUGAGGAUGGAUCAACAAGGAUCAUGUAUAUAUAGUUAGCAAGUAGUUUUGUAAAAUGAGUAGAAUAAACAAUGAUGCCAGGGAGAAAAAUUCCAUCAAUUAUGUACUAUUUUCAAGUGUUUACAGUCAUGCCAUUAUUGAAUGAUGAACUAAAAUCAUUUUGCAGAUUGUUAUUUAAAUUGAUAACAUAUUCCAAAUUAAAAUUCU